CCUACGGGUGGCAGCAGUGAGGAAUAUUGGUCAAUGGUCGGGAGCCUGAACCAGCCAAGCCGCGUGAAGGAUGAAUGUACAACGGGUCGUAAACUUCUUUUAUCAAGGAAUAAAGUGAGGCACGUGUGCCUGUUUGUAUGUACUUUAUGAAUAAGCAUCGGCUAACUCCGUGCCAGCAGCCGCGGUAAUACGGAGGAUCCGAGCGUUAUCCGGAUUUAUUGGGUUUAAAGGGUGCGUAGGUGGGUUGUUAAGUCAGUGGUGAAAGUUCGGGGCUCAACCCCGUCCAGCCGUUGAAACUGGCAGACUUGAGUUGGCGAGAAGUACGCGGAAUGCGCGGUGUAGCGGUGAAAUGCAUAGAUAUCGCGCAGAACUUCGAUUGCGAAGGCAGCGUACCGGCGCCAGACUGACGCUGAGGCACGAAAGCGUGGGGAUCGAACAGGAUUAGAUACCCUUGUAGUC
rnacentral:rRNA from 1 species